ensembl:antisense 1110002L01Rik RIKEN cDNA 1110002L01 gene
GCGGCCGCGGAGGCGCGCAGUGGCGGGGGUAGGGGGCUCUACGGGGUGGCCGGUCCUGCUGCCGCUGCCACUGCUACCGCCGCUGCCAUAUUGGGUUCUUACUGUACAAGCAGCUUCUGUGGUCACGUGACCCCUGCCGCGCGGCCGUCACUACUGUACGCUGCAGGCCGCGCGAACGAGCGCGCACUUGCGCGCGCCCCCAGCCUCGGCGUCGGACCGGCAGGCUGCAGCAGUUAGCCACGCCCCUGCACUUCCGGUGUCUCCGCAUCGAGCCCUUGCGCACGACGGAGGGCGGCCCAUGGUCUGUGGGUCGGAUGUCUGGCGGUCACACCCGCCGGGAAGAUCUUCUGGCGGAAACAGAAUCUGCUCCUUUCGGGAAAGGCUGAUUGCGCGGUUACGUGCAGCGUGUGUUGAGGAGUGGCUCUGGAAACUUAAAGAGCCCGACGAUCAAGUGAUCUUGCCAACUACCGUUUUAAUCAGCAUGUUUUAUUUUGUUGUGGUACAGGCUCAGUCAACUGUGUUCAUCUCAACAGGGCUGGGGCCUGCAGGCUGCUGGCAGCACCAAGUUAAGGUGCAUUUCCACUCAACAGAAAGGCCUCCAUCCUAAACCAAGGGGGCAGAGGUUAAUGCUUUAUAUAUAUUUAUAUAUUUAUAUAUUACAUAUGUCCUAGAUAUACAUAUGUCCCAUAUGUAUAGAGUGACAAGAAUGGGCCACUUUGUGUAACUUUAAUUAAAGGCCAUAGCAACAGACAUAGAAAUUUGAUCCUAAUUAAGGCCCGUACUUUGUCAAUCAAAUGUGUGAUACAGUAAAAGAAAAAGGAGAGAGACAGAGACUGAGAUCCAGCCACCUCCAGGAGUCCUGUCUCCAGGGUAUCUUACAUUGAGUGUAGUGCCCCCUGUACAGGUGAACAUAAACACACACAUAAACACACACAUAUAAUACCACAGGCAGGAGCACCUCUUCUGACCACACCUUGGGCCCAGCCUUUGGCUGCAGUGCUGAAGUGGAGUAUAUUGUGCUAUAAGACUGUGAGGGUAGUGGACCAGACAAUGUGGAGUCAGUGUGUCCAAGUGAUGAAUGGGGUGACUCAUGCAGCUUCAUCUACAAAUGACAGAGAGCUCAGGGGAGGUCCCUCAAUGCACAGUUCACAUCAGGAGAUUUCUACACACAGCUCCUGUUCCAGAGAAAGCCAUUCCUCUGAUUUGAAUCCUGAGUGUCAAUCACAGGGUUCUGACAGAAACCUAGGGUUCCUUUGAAGGGCAGGCAGCCGCAAGGCUCGGCCAUUCAGUCCAGUGGAGCAGUAGAGAGCACAACAGUGGAGUCAAAGCAAAUGAUACUCAGACAGGACCCUGAAUGGUGCAAGAGGGGCUCAUUUCCCAAAAGGACGAGAAGGACUGCUGCCCUUUGCCACACAGAACUUCUGGCAGAUCUGUCAGCUUCAUGUCUUACAUAAGUAACAGACCUGCUCAUAAGCCAGGGAAGGAGACUCCCAACAUUAGGGCACUGGAAAUCCUAACUCCCUGUUUCCUCUCCCAGAAUUUACCCACUACCACCCACCAAAAUAUGCAUAUUGAAAAUAAGUCAACAUAUUUGGCAGUAUGAUUUUUAGUACUAAGAGAAUUUCUUAAUUUUUCAACCUAAUUUUACACUCAAUAAAUAAUAAUUAAGUAGUGAAUUGUUAAGUGCUGACAGCAGAAAUUACAAUUCCUUAUACAACAAACUGUGUGCUUAGCAGCAGCUUCUGCAUAGCUCCAGGACUUGGAAAAGAUUCAACACUGGGCUCGGCAUGGUGCUACACACCUGUAAUCUGCACUCUAGAGGCAGAGGCAGGAAAGUAGCUGUAAGCUUCAUCCGUGCUGGUCUACAUAGUGUGUUCCAGGCCAGCCAGGGCUACACACAGAGAGACCCUGUCUCAGAAUAAAACAAAGCAACACAAAACAGAAAUAGAGAGCUAUCGAUCUCUUUUUCCUUGGAGGCAUAUCAGAACCACAGUUAGGGAAGGGAUCCAAGUUGGUUGGAGAACAGCUAGGACUGGGUGGUUUUAAUGUAAACUUUUAAAUUUAUUAUUUAUUUUCUCUUGUUUGCUAUGGAGUCAAGGGAGACUUUGAACUCCUGAUCCAUCUGCCUCUGUCUCCCAGGUGCUGGGAUUAAAGGUGUGCACCACCGAACUCAGUUCAAACCCAACUGUAAGAAACUUCCUUCAUCUUUAGUUAUAUGUAUGUCUGUAUCUGUAGGAGGGUACGUUCACGUGUGCACAGGUCAAUGCAAAGGCCAUAGGAGAGUUCCAGAUCCCCUGGAGACGCCUGGUGUGGAUGCUGGAAACCCACCUUGGGUCCCUCUGGACAGCAGCAAGUACUAUUAACCACUGAACCUUCUCUCCAGCUUUGAAAAAAAUUUUAAACAAGGUUUCAGUUUAUAGAAUGGGCUAUCAUCACUGGCAAUUCUUCUACCUCAACCUGAGUGACUCCAAACAAUUUUUGUGGAAUUGUAUAUGUACAUAUACAUAAAAACAUUUUUAAAAAAGAGACUGGGCAUCAUAGCUCACAUCUAUAACCCCAGCACCUGGGAAGCUGAGGCAGGAAUACCUCAAUUUUGAGGCAAGGUGGGCCACAGAGUAAGUGAAUACUAGUAGCAAGCCAGGACCACACAUUAAAAAAAAGAAAAAGAAGAGGAAGCAGCCAGACGUGGCUCAGCAGUUAAGAGCACAUAUUGCUCCUCCAGAAGACCUGAGUUCAAGUCCCAGCACUCACGUCAGGUGACUCACAACCACCUGUAACAACAGCUCCAGGGGGUCCAUGCCUCNNGCCUUUGCAUUCAUGUAUGUAGACACACAUGGUUUAAAAAUAAUAAAAAUAAAUCUUAAAAAAAUAUGUUUUAUCUUGCAUGUAAAAAAUAAAGGUCAAUGAAAAUUAACUUUUUAAAAUAGAAAUUUACUUAUCACUUGCAAUACCUGGAGACAUUUGGGGUGGUCACAAAGGAAGGUGAGGAAGGACCAAGCCACACAAGUGGUAAAGAAUGGAUUGAUUUUUCAACAAAAUAGUGCCCCCUCCCCCAAGAUGUAACUAAGAAGUAAGAGUAAAAGGUAAAUCUGGCAAAAA